AUUGAACGCUGGCGGCAGGCCUAACACAUGCAAGUCGAACGGUAACAGGAAGCAGCUUGCUGCUUCGCUGACGAGUGGCGGACGGGUGAGUAAUGUCUGGGAAACUGCCUGAUGGAGGGGGAUAACUACUGGAAACGGUAGCUAAUACCGCAUAGCGUCGCAAGACCAAAGAGGGGGACCUUCGGGCCUCUUGCCAUCGGAUGUGCCCAGAUGGGAUUAGCUAGUAGGUGGGGUAACGGCUCACCUAGGCGACGAUCCCUAGCUGGUCUGAGAGGAUGACCAGCCACACUGGAACUGAGACACGGUCCAGACUCCUACGGGAGGCAGCAGUGGGGAAUAUUGCACAAUGGGCGCAAGCCUGAUGCAGCCAUGCCGCGUGUAUGAAGAAGGCCUUCGGGUUGUAAAGUACUUUCAGCGGGGAGGAAGGGAGUAAAGUUAAUACCUUUGCUCAUUGACGUUACCCGCAGAAGAAGCACCGGCUAACUCCGUG
rnacentral:rRNA from 1 species